rnacentral:rRNA from 2 species
CUAAGUUUAAGAAUAAGAGGUUGCUAACUCUGUGCCAGCAGCAGCGGUAAAACAGAGACCUCAAGCGUUAUCCGGAAUUAUUGGGCGUAAAGAGUCUGUAGGCGGCUUGAUUAGUCUUGUCUUAAAUUUUUGGGCUUAACCCAAAAACUGGGCAGGAAACGGUCAAACUAGAGAUUAGCAGAGGCAAGCGGAACUUAUGGUGUAGGGGUGAAAUCCGUUGAUAUCAUAAGGAACACCAAAGGCGAAGGCAGCUUGCUGGGCUAAUUCUGACGCUGAGAGACGAAAGCUAGGGGAGCGAAUGGGAUUAGAUACCCCAGUAGUCCUAGCUGUAAACGAUGGACACUAGCUGUUUGAAGUAUCGACCCUUCAAGUGGCGUAGCUAACGCGUUAAGUGUCCCGCCUGGGAAGUACGGCCGCAAGGCUGAAACUUAAAGGAAUAGACGGGGAGCUGCACAAGCGGUGGAGCAUGUGGCUUAAUUCGAUAGUAACCGAAAAACCUUACCAGGGCUUGAUAUCUCUCGUACCCAUUGAGAAAUCAACGGGGUUCCGCAAGGAACGGGAUGACAGGUACUGCAUGGUCGUCGUCAGUUCGUGUUGUGAAAUGUUCCCUUAAGUGGGGUAACGAACGCAACCCCUGCUCUGUAUUACAAGUGUUACAGAGGACUGCCUGCGUUAAGCAGGAGGAAGGCGGGGAUGACGUCAGAUCAGCAUGGUCUUUUGAUGCCCUGGGCUGCACACAUGCUACAAUGGCUGGUACAAAGGGCUGCUAAGCCGCAAGGCGGAGCCAAUCCCAUAAAACCAGUCUCAGUUCGGAUUGAGGUCUGCAAUUCGGCCUCAUGAAGCCGGAAUCGCUAGUAAUCGUGGAUCAGCAUGCCACGGUGAAUACGUUCUCAGCUCUUGUACUCACCGCCCGUCAAUCCAGUGAAGCCGGGAGUGCCCGAAGUUCCGCCAUAUAGGCGGACCUACGGCAAGCUCGGUGACAAGGGAUAAGUCGUAACAAGGCAUCCGUAGGGGAACCUGCGGAUGGAUCACCUCCUUUCUAGGGAG